GUAGGCGGCAAGCGUUGUCCGGAAUUAUUGGGCGUAAAGCGCGCGCAGGCGGGUCCUUUAAGUCUGAUGUGAAAGCCCACGGGCUCAACCGUGGAGGGUCAUUGGAAACUGGGGGACUUGAGUACAGAAGAGGAAAGCGGAAUUCCAAGUGUAGCGGUGAAAUGCGUAGAGAUUUGGAGGAACACCAGUGGCGAAGGCGGCUUUCUGGUCUGUAACUGACGCUGAGGCGCGAAAGCGUGGGGAGCAAACAGGAUUAGACACCCUGGUAGUCCACGCCGUAAACGAUGAGUGCUAAGUGUUAGGGGGUUUCCGCCCCUUAGUGCUGCAGCUAACGCAUUAAGCACUCCGCCUGGGGAGUACGGCCGCAAAGGCUG
rnacentral:rRNA from 1 species